UUGCAUACUGCCAAGUGCGUCAGUCAGAGGUGAACAUGAACAACUAGAAUACGCUCAGACUUCGUUCGGCGAUACCAACUCCAAAUUUCAUGGAAAUACCACAAAUAAUGGAUUAUAUUAAUGGAAUAUAUGGACGGCAGCUCAUUUUCCAGGAUUAGCUAUAUUGUGGCGAAAUAUACCACGGACAUAUACGAGCUAGCGUUAGUUAGCUACAUUCUGAAGUGUCGCCUGCAUCUCCACGUCAAAUCGAAGCACAGAAAAGUUGCCGUCUUUCUAGCUAGUAAUGGAGAAUCGAUGACAUUUCUCAAAAACUCUAAUUUUAAAUUUCUAAACUGUUAUGGAACAUAUUGGAGCAGCCCAUGUACAGGGGUAGAGGGGUCACACUGAGGCCCAGGACACCCCCCUGCUCGUCCAGGAGAUGGAAAGUCCUGCUGGGGAAAGAGGUCGUCUCCAGGGAAACAAGCGUCCCAUCUCGAUGGUAGCAGAGAGGAAUCAUGCUCCAGGCGGUUGGAAGUUAUUGAGGGCUAAAGAUGGGCAUCCACAUUUCAGAUCACAAUAGAAAUGAUCCAAAGUACCUGUGCAACGUCCAUACCCAGGUUCCCGGAGCAGCUGCCAGGACGCCGGUCCUGCCCCCCAGAGAUCUCCAUCAUCGGGUGUUACAUGAUAUUCUGUCGGAGGAUGGGCCAAGGAACGCACCACAAUGAAAGAGUUGACUUUGUUUAUUAGCUAUCGAGCUCGGAUCACACCAGCAGUCCACAACAGAGUGAUAGGCAUGAGUGAGAAACAUGUCUCUCAGAUGGAUAUUAUAUACAUGAGCUGGACAGUACAGAUAUAGUAACCACCAAAACAUGUCCUUAAAUUGUACACAUUCCACUAAUGCACAGGGAUAACAACAGCUUCUCUGUACACAGAAAAUCCGCAUAUCAUCAGGUUCACCUGCUGCUUGUCUACCCUUUUACCACCUGUGUAACUUACAUUUGUUGGUACGUUUUUGUUCUUUCCAUAGUGCAGUCAGUGUUUGUAUACUAUAGUCUGUCUCUGUAUACUAUAGUCUGUCUCUGUAUACUAUAGUCUGCAACCGGCCCACGGGCUGACCCAAUCCAGCCCGCGUUAGUUAAAUAAAAAAUGUCUGUUUUGACCUUUUGCCUGCUCUUUCGGACUAUAUAUUUUUACUUCACCUACUCAGCCAUGUUUGAUCUAAUAUUCUACAGGGUUCCUGCAGGUUUCAGUAUGUCAAAUUUAAGACCUUUUUAAAUACAUUUUAGCUAGAUCCCUGUAACUGCAGCGCACUCCCCGACUGACCAGAUCCCCUCUCCCAACUGUCUUUCCAGGUACCCAACUGUCCCACCACGAAAGAGUCUGAAAAGAAAUGUACCUUUUAUCAGUUUAACCCCAAGAGCAGAAAUUGAGUUGUAAGAAGAUCACACAGCCAGAUUUGAACACGAGACCCUUCACACAACAGCCCACAUCCUUAACCACUGAGCUAUCAGGGAUCAUAAUCUCCACUCAACAUUUAAAUGUGACUUUGAACUAUGUAGUUGUAACAACCUGCAGAGUUGGGGUGUCAGAAAACCAGAAGAAAGCAGGGCUCCCGUUAGCUCACUGGGUUAGUGUGCAUGCUCUUUCAGACAUGCUGGGGCAGUAGUUAGCUCACUAGGUCAGUGUGCAUGCUCUUUCAGACAUGCUGGGGCAGUAGUUAGCUCACUGGGUUAGUGUGCAUGCUCUUUCAGACAUGCUGGGGCAGUACCGCAACAGCCUGGGUUCAAAUCCACAUUUGAAAUUGUUUAUUGUAAUUGAACUUUUCUGAGUCUGGUGCUAUUUUGGCUGUUUUUGAGUACCUUUUGAUUUUGCCUUGAUAUACUACAUAAAGAAAUGUUUACUAUACUAGUGUUUGGCAUCUUCUUUCAGCACAUCACCUAUAUGACCUGUUAAAAGUUACAUUGUGGUCAUGUGAGACUUAACCUUCAGUUUCAUACAUUUCAUGUCUCCUCCCCCAAAAGCGUGUUAAUUUCAGGAAGGUUUUAUAUGGUUCAGUUUGGUUAGAAAUACAAUUAUACAAUGGUAAUGAUAGCCUUAAAUUUACCCCUGAUUCCAGUUACAACCAUAAAUGUAAAGCCAGUGGUUGAUUAUUGAUAGAGAUUGGUGUUUUGUGCUUCUGGACUGGAUUGUUAUGAAGUAGUACAGGAAUUAUGACAGUGGCGACUAAAAUAUGUUUUUUUAUUUAAAAAAAAUCUGGACAGACCAGACCACAAAUUAAAACCUAAUAUUUCAAACAUAAAUAUGCAGAUAUCCACAGAAUUCUCUUAUUCCAACAGUUUGAGUGUUCCUUCAACACAGCAGUGUUUCUCAUGUCUACGAAGCAUAAAGGUCCCUCUUCACAAAACAGAUAAUAGAAGCAGAAUGCAAAAUAGGGAAAAGCGACAUCAACAGUCAGUCUACAAACAAAAGAAUUGGGGUUUUAAAGCAUGUGCGAAUACAUUCUUUUUCAGCAAAAAGGAACAAAAUAAAGCACUUUGGUCAUCUCCACACCAAGCAACAAAAGUACAAAAAUGCUCUCACUUCCUCACAAAUACAACGGUUUGACAUUGAAACUUUGUAACAUUUUUUUCCCUCUUAAUCAGCUUUAAAGUGCACAUUUUCGGGCAUUUCUAAACUGCACGUUACACGGUGUAAUACUAACCCUAACACCACCUGUUGACAAGUCACAUAGGUACGCUUCAGUCGUUCACUUUCAGAGACACAAAAAAGAACAUACUUGAAUGUUUUAGUCCUGAUAUUGAGCUGUUGAAGAACUAUUAGCUUUUCCUGUCUAGCGCCUUUAGCAACCUUUGCCUAGUUGUGAAGAUUCUUUCAGCAGAACAAAGCUUUUCAAGUUGAAAGUGGUGCCGGCUGAUCCAACAACACAAAAUGUUGAGGUACGAUCAACAUUCUCCCAUGAGAAGAUACGAGGAAAUUGUAAGCUCUGUAUACAAAAGCAAUAACAAACCAAAUAUUUUUCUGUACAUAAAUAUGGUUAUAGUUACCCUACAAGUAUGUACAGUUUCAUGGCUGUAUACAAAAGUGAGUUGAGAGAGCUCCUCUGUAGGACUCUGGUGGAGAACUACCAGUUUAUUGCUUGAAAUUCAGUGAUUCGUGCUCCAGGAAAGCACAGAACACUUGACAGCAGGGAUGAGAAAGGGGGUUAAGUUAUACAGGUCUUAAAUCUGGCUAGACGUUACUGUACCCACUUCCUUUAACACAGGUGGGCAUUACACAAAAGAAACACAUUGACCUACCUAUAGUAUGUAUAGGUUAUGAAUAAUAAUGAACAGCGAUCCACAAACUGGCUUGUCUUAGAGGCCAACUUAAGCUCAUUGGGGGUGGGACUAUGUGAGAAAGGAGAAAGGGUGUUUGAAGAGCAUUCAGAGAGAGCCUAGUACCAUGAGAGAAACAGAUUCUACGCCAGAUUGGGACUCGGUUUUCAGGCAAGGUACCACCUCCUUGUCUUGUUGUCACGUCAAACGGUCUUCCCUCUGAGAACACAAUCCUGUAGCUUAAAAUAAUACUUUUUUUUUUUUUCCAACAAAAACAAUUCAAAACAUUUUG